rnacentral:rRNA from 1 species
GAUGAACGCUGGCGGCGUGCCUAACACAUGCAAGUCGAGCGAUUCUCUUCGGAGAAGAGCGGCGGACGGGUGAGUAACGCGUGGGUAACCUGCCCUGUACACACGGAUAACAUACCGAAAGGUAUGCUAAUACGAGAUAAUAUGCUUUUGUCGCAUGGUAGAAGUAUCAAAGUUUUUGCGGUACAGGAUGGACCCGCGUCUGAUUAGCUAGUUGGUAAGGUAACGGCUUACCAAGGCGACGAUCAGUAGCCGACCUGAGAGGGUGAUCGGCCACAUUGGAACUGAGACACGGUCCAAACUCCUACGGGAGGCAGCAGUGGGGAAUAUUGCACAAUGGGCGAAAGCCUGAUGCAGCAACGCCGCGUGAGCGAUGAAGGCCUUCGGGUCGUAAAGCUCUGUCCUCAAGGAAGAUAAUGACGGUACUUGAGGAGGAAGCCCCGGCUAACUACGUGCCAGCCGCCGCAGUAAAAC